rnacentral:rRNA from 1 species
GCCUACGGGGGUCAGCAGUAGGGAAUAUUGCUCAAUGGGGGAAACCCUGAAGCAGCAACGCCGCGUGGAGGAUGAAGGUUUUCGGAUUGUAAACUCCUUUUGUCAGAGAAGAUAAUGACGGUAUCUAACGAAUAAGCACCAGCUAACUCCGUGCCAGCAGCCGCGGUAAUACGGAGUGUGCAAGCGUUACUCGGAAUCACUGGUCGUAAAGAGCGCGUAGGCGGGAUAGCAAGUCAGAUGUGAAAUCCUAUGGCUUAACCAUAGAACUGCAUUUGAAACUGUUAUUCUAGAGUAUGGGAGAGGUA